rnacentral:rRNA from 1 species
AACGAACGUUGGCGGCGUGGUUAAGGCAUGCAAGUCGAACGGACCUUACUUGAGAGUAGUCGAAGGUAAGGUUAGUGGCGGACGGGUGAGUAAUACAUGGGUAACGUACCCCGGACUCUGGGAUAGCGGCGGAACUUCGGUCCUUUGCGAAAGUGCCGGUAAUACCGGAUGAUCUCGACAGGACGCAUGGUCUGUCGAGCAAAGCUCCGGCGGUCUGGGAUCGGCCCAUGGCCUAUCAGCUUGUUGGUGGGUAACGGCCUACCAAGGCAGCGACGGGUACCGAGUGUGAGAGCAUGACCCGGCACAUCGGGACUGAGACACUGCCCGGACACCUACGAGUGGCUGCAGCAACGAAUAUUCCGCAAUGGGCGAAAGCCUGACGGAGCGACGCCGCGUGCAGGAUGAAGGCGCUUCGCGUCGUAAACUGCUGUCAGGGGUUAGGAAGAUCUGACCAACCCCAAAGGAAGCCUCGGCUAACUCCGUG